CCCAGGAUCAAAUCUCCAGUUGGAGACCAGCGGAGGGAUCAUUACCGAGUUUACAACUCCCAAACCCCUGUGAACAUACCUUAUGUUGCCUCGGCGGAUCAGCCCGCGCCCCGUAAAAAGGGACGGCCCGCCGCAGGAACCCUAAACUCUGUUUUUAGUGGAACUUCUGAGUAUAAAAAACAAAUAAAUCAAAACUUUCAACAACGGAUCUCUUGGUUCUGGCAUCGAUGAAGAACGCAGCAAAAUGCGAUAAGUAAUGUGAAUUGCAGAAUUCAGUGAAUCAUCGAAUCUUUGAACGCACAUUGCGCCCGCCAGUAUUCUGGCGGGCAUGCCUGUUCGAGCGUCAUUUCAACCCUCAAGCCCAGCUUGGUGUUGGGAGCUGCAGUCCUGCUGCACUCCCCAAAUACAUUGGCGGUCACGUCGAGCUUCCAUAGCGUAGUAAUUUACACAUCGUUACUGGUAAUCGUCGCGGCCACGCCGUUAAACCCCAACUUCUGAAUGUUGACCUCGGAUCAGGUAGGAAUACCCGCUGAACUUAAGCAUAUCAAUAAGCGGAGGAA
rnacentral:rRNA from 1 species